GACCGUGCAAAGGUAGCAAAAUCAUUAGUUUUUUAAUUGAAGGCUAGAAUGAAUGGUGGACAAGAAAUAAGCUGUCUUAGUUAAAGAUAUUGAAUUUAACUUUUGAGUGAAAAGGCUUAAAUAAUCUGAAGGGACGAUAAGACCCUAUAAAACUUUAUAUUAAAAAGUAGAAGUUAAUUUUAUUUGAGUGUUACUAUUUAAAAUAUUUGGUUGGGGCGAUCGGAAUAAAAGGUCUAAUAACUGUCCUUUUUUUUUACAAUAAUAUUUGGUUUAAUGAUCCUAAAAGGGAUUUAAGAUUAAGUUACUUUAGGGAUAACAGCGUAAUUUUCUUUGAGAGUCCUUAUCGACAAGAAAGUUUGCGACCUCAUGUUGAAUUAAAAGUUCUUUAUAGAGUAGAGACUAUAAUAGAAGGUCUGUUCACCUUAAAAUUUUACAUGAUUUGAGUUCAGACCGGUGUGAGCCAGGUUGGUUUCUAUCU
rnacentral:rRNA from 1 species